GGGAGAUGAAUCUAUUGUAUCAAGGUCUUUGCAUAAUUUAUACUCUUUCCGUUGGCUAAAGUAAGAAUGAACUAGUUUCACUCUGAAAAUGAAAGUAUUACCACAGUUAUCUACCUGGAUAUUAUCUGCACACUGCGCUGCUGGGCGGGCCUGGCUGAUAGCUGAGCAUUGUGACGCCUUUUGGUCAAACACAGUAAUCAGUUCAUGGUCUGAUUAAGUUGCAUAAAUAAGGGAAUAAAUACGUUAGUAGUUAAUAAAUAUCAAAAGUAAAUUCAUGCUAAAAACGGUUAAACUGUUUUGGAUUUGAAAUCUGACCAGAGUAAGACUUCUGUACUACAAACGAUCUUCGUUGUGUUGGACGCGCAGCAUCGGGAAGGAGCGAAGGAGCGGGGCCCCUGUGAACCUAUCUUUGGCCUAACUCCUCCGGUAAUGUUGUGAACAAGUGCUUCGGUGGAAGUGGGAGAGGAAACCGCUCAUGCACACGCUAAAAUUUCCGUGCGCGCAUGUGCCUUGGGAAACGUUCGUCUUUUUUCAAAGAAAAAGGCCUUAAACAGGAAAAAAAGAUUUAUAAAGAUCUUCAGUAAAAUCAAGAAAAGCCACACCAGGCUGGCUUUCACAGUCACUUGUUGUGAGGACAGUACGUGCACGUCUCCUUCCUUGUUUGACCAGCGCUGCCGAGUCACGUGACAGUACAACACCAAAACAAAAACAAACUGCUCUGAGGUGUGUCUUGUAAAAGCAGCGGCGCUUACAGCCGGAUCUCCUCUUAGAUGGCAUCGCAUCAGUGCACAGAAGGGAGAAAACGGGAACUGAAGUAUCGAUCUCAUUACUCUCGUACUGAUUAAUGUCAGUACAAGCGGUGGUAUCGAUAUUGCGAUAUACGGAUCGAUCCCCCACAACUACGCAGUUUCUUUAAGUCAUUGUGAUCUUCUACAGAAAUGUUGCUCAUAUCUGUUUUCCUUUGCUUUUCGGUGAUCUGGACUUCACUUUCAAAAGAUCCAGAUGAGGUGAUCACAGUGAAGCAGGA
ensembl:lncRNA